rnacentral:tRNA from 1 species
UCCCUGGUGGCUCAGAGGUUAAAGCGUCUGCCUGCAAUGCAGGAGACCCGGGUUCGAUCCCUGGGUGGGGAA